rnacentral:rRNA from 1 species
GAUGAACGCUGGCGGCGUGCCUAAUACAUGCAAGUCGAGCGAACAGACGAGGAGCUUGCUCCUCUGAAGUUAGCGGCGGACGGGUGAGUAACACGAGGAUAACCUACCUAUAAGACUGGGAUAACUUCGGGAAACCGGAGCUAAUACAGGAUAAUAUAUUGAACCGCAUGGUUCAAUAGUGAAAGACGGUUUUGCUGUCACUUAUAGAUGGAUCCGAGCCGCAUUAGCUAGUUGGUAAGGUAACGGCUUACCAAGGCGACGAUGCGUAGCCGACCUGAGAGGAUGAUCGGCCACACUGGAACUGAGACACGGUCCAGACUCCUACGGGAGGCAGCAGUAGGGAAUCUUCCGCAAUGGGCGAAAGCCUGACGGAGCAACGCCGCGUGAGUGAUGAAGGUCUUCGGAUCGUAAAACUCUGUUAUUAGGGAAGAACAAAUGUGUAAGUAACUAUGCACGUCUUGACGGUACCUAAUCAGAAAGCCACGGCUAACUUCGUG